rnacentral:rRNA from 1 species
CGUACACUCCUGCGGGAGGCAGCAGUGGGGAAUAUUGCACAAUGGGCGCAAGCCUGAUGCAGCCAUGCCGCGUGUAUGAAGAAGGCCUUCGGGUUGUAAAGUACUUUCAGCGGGGAGGAAGGCGAUAAGGUUAAUAACCUUGUUGAUUGACGUUACCCGCAGAAGAAGCACCGGCUAACUCCGUGCCAGCAGCCGCGGUAAUACGGAGGGUGCAAGCGUUAAUCGGAAUUACUGGGCGUAAAGCGCACGCAGGCGGUCUGUCAAGUCGGAUGUGAAAUCCCCGGGCUCAACCUGGGAACUGCAUUCGAAACUGGCAGGCUAGAGUCUUGUAGAGGGGGGUAGAAUGCCAGGUGUAGCGGUGAAAUGCGUAGAGAUCUGGAGGAAUACCGGUGGCGAAGGCGGCCCCCUGGACAAAGACUGACGCUCAGGUGCGAAAGCGUGGGGAGCAAACAGGAUUAGAUACCCCGGUAGUCCCAUGA